rnacentral:rRNA from 1 species
UACAGGGGGUGCAAACGUUGCUCGGAAUCACUGGGCGUAAAGGGUGCGUAGGCGGGUCUUUAAGUCAGGGGUGAAAUCCUGGAGCUCAACUCCAGAACUGCCCUUGAUACUGAAGGUCUUGAGUUCGGGAGAGGUGAGUGGAACUGCGAGUGUAGAGGUGAAAUUCGUAGAUAUUCGCAAGAACACCAGUGGCGAAGGCGGCUCACUGGCCCGAUACUGACGCUGAGGCACGAAAGCGUGGGGAGCAAACAGG